UACAGAGACUGCAAGCGUUAUUCGGAUUCACUGGGCGUAAAGGGUGCGCAGGCGGCCAAGUGUGUCAGGUGUGAAAUCCCGGAGCUCAACUCCGGAACUGCGCCUGAAACUACUUGGCUAGAGCAUUGGAGAGGGAAGUGGAAUUCACGGUGUAGCAGUGAAAUGCGUAGAUAUCGUGAGGAACACCAGAGGCGAAGGCGACUUCCUGGACAAUAGCUGACGCUCAGGCACGAAAGCGUGGGUAGCCAAAGGG
rnacentral:rRNA from 1 species